rnacentral:rRNA from 1 species
UACGAAGGGUGCAAGCGUUACUCGGAAUUACUGGGCGUAAAGGGAGCGUAGGCGGGUUAUCAAGUUGGAGGUGAAAGCCCAGGGCUCAACCUUGGAAUUGCCUUCAAAACUGAUAGCCUAGAGUAUGAUAGAGGUAUGUGGAACUCCGAGUGUAGAGGUGAAAUUCGUAGAUAUUCGGAAGAACACCAGUGGCGAAGGCGACAUACUGGGUCAUGACUGACGCUGAGGCUCGAAAGCGUGGGGAGCAAACAGG